GAUGAACGCUGGCGGCGUGCCUAAUACAUGCAAGUCGAGCGAACAGACGAGGAGCUUGCUCCUCUGACGUUAGCGGCGGACGGGUGAGUAACACGUGGAUAACCUACCUAUAAGACUGGGAUAACUUCGGGAAACCGGAUCUAAUACCGGAUAAAAUGUUGAACCGCAUGGUUCAACAGUGAAAGACGGUCUUGCUGUCACUUAUAGAUGGAUCCGCGCCGCAUUAGCUAGUUGGUAAGGUAACGGCUUACCAAGGCAACGAUGCGUAGCCGACCUGAGAGGGUGAUCGGCCACACUGGAACUGAGACACGGUCCAGACUCCUACGGGAGGCAGCAGUAGGGAAUCUUCCGCAAUGGGCGAAAGCCUGACGGAGCAACGCCGCGUGAGUGAUGAAGGUCUUCGGAUCGUAAAACUCUGUUAUUAGGGAAGAACAAAUGUGUAAGUAACUAUGCACGUCUUGACGGUACCUAAUCAAAAAGCCACGGCUAACUACGUG
rnacentral:rRNA from 1 species